rnacentral:rRNA from 1 species
CAUAUGCUUGUCUCAAAGAUUAAGCCAUGCACGUCUAAGUAUAAGUAAUUAUAUGGCGAAACUGCGGAUGGCUCAUUAUAUCAGUUAUAAUCUACUCGAUUAAUUUUUUAAUUGGAUACCUGUAGGAAUUCUAGAGCUAAUACAUGCAAAAAGACUUGAUCGGGGCAACUCGAGAUGGUCGCGUAUACUAGAUGAGGAACCAAUUUGGGGGGCAACUCCCAACAGUAGGACGAUACAUAGUAUCAAAGCGAAUCGGGGGUGAAGACCCUCGAUGAUGCGAACGAGUUUCUGCCCUAUCAGCUUUUCAAUCGUAGUGUAGUGGACUACGAUGGCGAUAACGGGUACGGGGAAUUAGGGUUCGAUUCCGGAGAGGGAGCCUGAGAAACGGCUCCCACUUCCAAGGAAGGCAGCAG